rnacentral:rRNA from 1 species
GACGAACGCUGGCGGCGUGCUUAACACAUGCAAGUCGAACGGAAAGGCCCUGCUUUUGUGGGGUGCUCGAGUGGCGAACGGGUGAGUAACACGUGAGUAACCUGCCCUUGACUUUGGGAUAACUUCAGGAAACUGGGGCUAAUACCGGAUAGGAGCUCCUGCUGCAUGGUGGGGGUUGGAAAGUUUCGGCGGUUGGGGAUGGACUCGCGGCUUAUCAGCUUGUUGGUGGGGUAGUGGCUUACCAAGGCUUUGACGGGUAGCCGGCCUGAGAGGGUGACCGGCCACAUUGGGACUGAGAUACGGCCCAGACUCCUACGGGAGGCAGCAGUAGGGAAUAUUGCACAAUGGGCGGAAGCCUAAUGCAGCAACGCCGCGUGCGGGAUGACGGCCUUCGGGUUGUAAACCGCUUUCGCCUGUGACGAAGCGUGAGUGACGGUAAUGGGUAAAGAAGCACCGGCUAACUACGUG